GACGAACGCUGGCGGCGUGCUUAACACACGCAAGUCGAACGAUGAAGCUAGAGCUUGCUCUGGUGGAUUAGUGGCGAACGGGUGAGUAACACGUGAGUAACCUGCCCCGAACUCUGGGAUAACUGCUGGAAACGGUAGCUAAUACCGGAUAUGACCAAUGAAGGCAUCUUCUGUUGGUGGAAAGAAUUUCGGUUCGGGAUGGACUCGCGGCCUAUCAGGUUGUUGGGGAGGUAACGGCUCACCAAGGCGACGACGGGUAGCCGGACUGAGAGGGUGAUCGGCCACACUGGGACUGAGACACGGCCCAGACUCCUACGGGAGGCAGCAGUGGGGAAUAUUGCACAAUGGGCGCAAGCCUGAUGCAGCAACGCCGCGUGAGGGACGACGGCCUUCGGGUUGUAAACCUCUUUUAGUAGGGAAGAAGCGAAAGUGACGGUACCUGCAGAAAAAGCACCGGCUAACUACGUGCCAGCCGCCGCCGUAA
rnacentral:rRNA from 1 species